rnacentral:tRNA from 1 species
CCUUUAGCUCAGUGGUUAGAGCAAGGGACUCAUAAUCCUUGGGUCGCGAGUUCAAGUCUCGCAGGGC